rnacentral:lncRNA from 1 species
AGUUCUUUGUGUCAAAAAGGUUGGCCUCUACUGUACUAAACAGAUACUCUCCAAUGUUGAUGAUAUUCAGUAUCUUGAGUGCAGGUCUGAAAAUAUGCAUAGAGAUUGCAGCUCUAGAACUUAUUUUCAUAAAUGAAUAAAUUUUUCGGAAUGCCGGUUUCUAUUUAAGAAAUUAUACUAUUGCCAUUUAAUUCCUACCAAGAAUUCUAUAAAAUAAAGCUAAAUUCCUCAAUUCAGUGGUUGACCCAUGAGUAGAAAUGUCAGUCUCUUUCAAUAGAGAGUAGGACCAAGGAUCUCAUUAGUUUGAAUUCUUUAAAAAUACAUAUUCAAAAACACAUAAGACUGUAAAAUAAAUGUUUAUUCCACCCUUAUACACAUAGUAACCAUUAUUAGACUAUCUGAUAGUUGGCACCUUUCAGUGCAGCUGCAGAAGAGGAAAAUGUUAAAUUGAGCAUCCAUGAGGCAUUUUAAAUUUCUUUUGUUACUAAAUCAAGAAGCAAAUUGUAAUUUUUACUUUGACUCUUCACUAAAACCAGCCAAACACCGUCAGUAAACGAACAUCACCAAAAUUGUGAAAAUACACAAUUAAAUGAAAAAAAGAGAAAUUAAUAAAAGAACAGAUUUAUAACUAACAUUAUUUUUAUUUUCUUUUUACUUUAAGUCAUCUUUUCCUUGGUUAUUAGCUCCCUAGAAGGUAGGUUUCAGAUACUCCAGACUAGGAAGCGUACUAGGAAUCUGAUUUUCAGUACCUUCAUCCUUUAUCUAGCUGUGAUAAACAAAUGCAACUAGUUUACCAAGAGUCAAGGACAGAGUUUCUGUCCAUUAGGGGAAUUUUUUCCUUACUUUAUUCCUUAACUAUAGCUCCAGCCCAUACUCAAGCCAGGCAGCAUAAAAAUACAUGCAGAAAUUUUAAAAAAAAAAAUGAACACUCAAAUUAAUGAACAAGGUAACAAGACCAAGUUACUUUCAUACUCUAAUCUGUGUAAAAUAAAAUUUAACAUACAGCAUAUCAUAAAUAGGGUGAUACUUUAUCAGACUGGGAACCUUGGCAUACUUUAUCAAUAUAUUUACUGAUGGAUGGCCCACAAUCUAUCUAUAGACCUAUCUGCUAUAAUUUAGAAGUACAGCAGUUUGAAUGUGUCAGAUAAAAUAAAAAAGCAACUAGUAAGAAUGAUCCUAUUCUUUCUCCUACAUGCUUCAUUCAGGUCCUAGUGCAUUACUUGUCUUUGGCUUUUUGUUUCCUUCCAUUACACACAAAACUGUUUCCUUGGCUGCAAGCUAAUAUCUGAUCAUUUCCUGCCUUUGAAUAGCAAUAAUGGUAUUGACUCCAACCUAGAAUAGUGACUUGCCUAGUGUUUUUUUAAAAUUUUUCCUUAUUAUAUUAAAAAAAGAGGCCAUAGUUUUAGAAUAAAAAAGCAACAAGAUAUUAAAUACAAAAGGUAUUACAAAUCUUUCACAGAAUGGCAAGUUGAACAGUGAUAUUUCCUAGAAAUAAUGUAGCAGAAAAUCAGGGUUUUGUUAAAGGUACUAGACUAAAAUGGGUUAUUGUAGGCUUUUAAACACUUAUUUUAUUUUAUUUUAUUUUAUUUGUUUUUUUAUUUUGAGAUGGAGUUUCACUCCUGUUGCCGAGGCUGGAGUGCAAUCAGGCAAUCUUGACUCACUGCAACCUCCACCUCCUGGGUUCAAGUGAUUCUCCUGCCUCAGCCUCCUGAGUAGCUCAGAUUACAGGCAUGUGCCACCAUGCCUAGCUAAUUUUUGUAUUUUUAGUAGAGACAGGGUUUCUCCAUGUUGGUCAGUUUAGUCUCUAACUCCCAACCUCAGGUGAUCUGCCCACCUCAACUUCCCAAAGUGCUGGGAUUACAGGUGUGAGCCACUGCGACCGGCCAAAAACUUCUUUCUGAACAAUGAAUUCGACGUUUUAUAUAAAA